UCUCGGUGUAAUCUGUAUUUAUUAAAUUAUGCAGACGAUAUUAUGUCAAUACCAAAUCACUUCUGGGUAACAGGCCUACGUGGCAUUGAUUUGAGUCAGACAGUUAUUCCAAUGUCAAAAUUGACUACAAAUUGUAAACAGGAUCAUUUUGGUUAUAAAGUAGGUCUCGUCUAAAAUGGAGUUUGGAACAUCUGUGCAUCACAAUAGAAACAUUAAGGUUUGGAACAUCUGUGCAUCACAAUAGGAACAUUAAGGUUUGGAACAUCUGUGCAUCACAAUAGAAACAUUAAGGUUUGGAACAUCUGUGCAUCACAAUAGGAACAUUAAGGUUUGGAACAUCUGUGCAUCACAAUAGGAACAUUAAGGUUUUGAACAUCUGUGCAUCACAAUAGGAACAUUAAGGUUUGGGUUUUGGUUUGACGAUGUCCAUUUACCCACUAACAUGUGGUGAACAGCUGCGGUGAUUUCUCUCUAUCCAAUAGCAUAGACAGUGAGACAGACCUGCCCAGCAGCUCCCAACUUUGUUUACAUAAGAAAACAUGUCACACAUUUGUUUUACCUGAGAAAUACUGUACC
ensembl:lncRNA